CCCGAUCCGGCACCUUAAUUGAAUUUACUUCCAGCUCUCUUGGUGUCUUGGCAGUAAGAAGAUAACAUGCCUGCGCCGAUUUCUGGGAACUUCAAAUUUGCUCUAUGCCGUGUUCAGUCGGAAAGCGAAGUAGUUGAUGAUAGGGGCUUGGCACAGCCUGCAUGGUAUGCAACAAAGUUUGUCUCAUAAUGAGAUUAUACGGCGAAGGAAGCUUGACAACCAAAAAUUCUACGUCCACUGAUCGGGAGCCCGCCCGAACUGGUAGUGUGAUUUUGCCAAAGGAUAUUUCGGAUUAGCGUUGAAGCCGAAUAACGGGUAAUCAGCCGAAGACAAAUCCGACUUAGUGAAACCGAGUUUAACGAAGGUCUUGUAGUACAUUACUUCUAAAGUACUUCCUUGGUCAAUGAGAACACAUUCAAAUCGGUUUACGCGUAGUUCAAUGACUAAGAGAUCAGUGUGGAGGAGCAUUACGCUGACCAAAUCAGAAUCAUCGAAACUAAUAUUCGCAGCUUCAUGGGGUCGUUUCGCUGGUCUGAUUUUGUUUUGGGGGUGAGGCUGCAACUGAAUUGUAUGUAUCGCGGAUGCUGUUGGCAAGCUAUAUAUCAUAUGAAUUAUGCCGAGUGGAGGUGAAUCCUGCCGUAAAGCUACUGUUUUUGUUGAAUUGUUCUUUCGGACGUGUUACAUAAGCCGACUGUCUUACACCAACUCCUCACGGUGGUCCUUCAACGCAUAACAACUGUCAGUGUCAUGAUCGUGGUCUUUGUGAUAUUUGCACUGCCUAUCCCGUCUCCUCGUGUCGAGAGGUCCCACCAUCUUGGGUGGCCAUUUAAAGAACGGCAUGUAUUGAACUUUAGACAUAACUGUACUGAUCGGCUCCGAUAACUCCGCGUAUUUCUUGUCCACGCGCCUUAUGCGCCUGCUAUCCACUUGAAGUUGCUCAUUAGCUCGAUGUGAACAUUGGUCAUUUGAUCGGCACGAAUCCCGUCUUUUGUCUCGUUUAGCCCGAUUCCGUGGUUCAGGGCUCCUUGGUGGUACAUCGUUUAUCGGCUGCACGAUUUUAGACGGGGCCGUCUUAUUGGCUUUGUGCCCGGCUUUGACCCGCAAGGCAUCAUCUUCCACUUUGCAGUAUUCCUCGACUUUUUUCAUUAACGACCAGACUGUUUUGGGGGGUCGUCUAAUCAAGGAGCUGCGGAGGGCACUAUCAGGAUAUAAUCCCAUCUUAAAGGCGGUGAUAGUCAUGGAGUCAUUGCAAGCAUCAUCUACUAGAUUAAAGCAUUCCCAAUAGCACGCCGAAUAUGCACGAAGGGUUUCUCCUGGUUGAAUUUGCAUUGCCUAGAGAGAAUCGGCUUGUUUCGACUGGACCUCAUUGGUGAUAAACCUUGCCCUUAAGAAUUUUUGGAGUUGGUGGAAGCUCUUAAUCAAUGCUGGUUUCAAUUUAUAAUACCAUCUGACGACCAUUGGUCCCAAACUUCUCGGGAAUAUUCAACAUAUGAGGGCCUCGUCGUCUGCAUGAAGCGUCAUGGCUUCUUUAUAAUGACAAAUAUGAUCUGUGGGGUCCGCUUUUCCAUCAUACAGGGUGAAUAAUGGCGCUUUGAACUUUUUGGUUAGCACUGCCCUUACGAUCCGUCGCACAACGGGGUCAUGUUGACCCUCUUCGUCUGAAUCAUUUUUUCUUCGCUUAUUCUGCGCACGCGGACUUCCUUCGGAAGAACUGGAGGCUUCGACUCAUCCCUUCUUUUUGGAUUCUGGGGAUGAUGAGUCAGAGUCACUGCCAUUAUCAUGUCCUCGAAUUUGAGGUCGUCGACCAUCCCUUUCCAAAGGUCGACCCCGAUCUUGGCACGCGGCUUGUUGGGAUUUUGCCACCUCCAAGGCCAAAUCCUGUCGAAGGCACUCAUUCUCAACCAUCAUAUUUUCCAACCUCUGUUCAUUUUGCUUCCCCUGAUCCAUAAUCGUUUACAUUGUCUCAUGUACUGAUGUCGAGGGUGAGAUCUGGGCAACCGAGUCGAAGUUUAAGGCCCUUCAUGCGGCAAUGUUCUCUGGCCCAAGCAUAUUUCUUGGAGUGGUAUCAUCUCGUGGCGUAAGGUCGUCAGCGACUAUCGGAGGAUCUUCUGUCACGCCCGCCAUAGAUGUGCUUGAGUAUUCCCACAGACGACGCCAAUUGUGGAGAUAUGGUUUGGAAAUACUCUAUGGAUCCUGUAGGACACUUCUGAUCCUUAGCUAGUCACCUGAAAAGGAAUGAACACUCUGGUCGGGGGUGCCGGAAUUAGCACUCCGAUGGACAAGUCAGUAUGUACUCUCUUGUUUGCUCGUAUCUCAAGUUAAUUAUAUUUGUUCUCACAUGCCUUUCCUUAGUUGAUACUCCUCUUAUUUAUACUCAUCCUUGAUAUUCGUGGUUGGGCCCGCCUUUUGACCAACGUAUAACUGCUUACUCAGCAAAUCUGUCCUACAUACUCGUACUCGGCCCAUUUUACAACUGAUUCUAAUGCCGAUUUGGUUAUUCUGCCUCUAUGUCCCUCCAAGAUAGAGCCGUAUAGUAUAUAACUUGAUCGAUAUUCAGCUUUCGUACGUAAGAAUAUUCAGCUUUCCUAUUGUGUUGACUUCUUACCUUAUCUAGCCAUUGCUUUAUUAUUCUCAAAUUCUCACUAUCAUAGGAUUUUCUUAACAUGUAUUGUAACAGCUCGAAAAUAAUGCAACAAUUCAACUGUAAAGACUAAUAUAAAAUGACAUAAAUAGAGUAUUAGGCUUUCAUUAAUCAGAGUUAAUUUACAAAAGGGGCACAUGCAUUAUACAUUCAUAAGUUUUUCCCUGAAUUUAUAGCAUGUGGCACCAAACUAAAUGAUCAACGAAAUAAAUGCCUUGCGAGCUUACAACUUUCCAAGACGAUACUUGGUUAUAACAAAACGAGUCAGAAGCUCAAUACAAAUAAAGCCCUAGGCUUGUACAAAAAGUAAAUACAAAAUAAACAAAAGUGAGAUCUUAGUUCCAUAUUCCUCCCAAGCUAGGUCCUUGGCGGAGGCAUAUCACCAGCACCUGAAAAUGGUUUUUUCCAAUUAAGGUGAGCCAAAGCCUAGUAGAAACAAUCUAUCACAAUAUAUGAAUAUUAACAAAGAUAUAAGUAUGAUAUGCAUAUACAAUGCCCAUGACAAAUCAUCCAUAGUGUUACCAGAUCAUAAUAUGCCAGGUUUUACGUCGCAAGCCAUUUUAGUCUUACUUUAUUUCAUGACAAUUCAUUUCACCUCAAUCCAUGAGUCAAAUCCACUGUGAGGUUAUAGCUCAGUGGUUCUCUAACCAAUACAAUCAUAACAUAAAAACUUUAAUUUUCCAUUUUACAAAAAUUUCGUCCACGGUGAUUCGGCACCCAUGUAUAUACGUGCGGAUUUCGGGACUUUCACCCUGAACACACAGGCCAACUUAAUUCAAUGGAGUCCAUCCAUUUCUCCUCCCAAUCAUGGAGUACAUCUGCUUUCUCCUCCCAAACAUCAUACAUAUACAACGUAUUAAAACAGAGUCAUAUUCAAUGACAACCGAUAAGAGAUUAGUUUCAAUUCACCUAAUCAUCAUGCAAUUUCUACAACAAUCAUAGCUAUCCUCCACCAAUAGCCCAAAAUAGAUAUUUCUAAACAGAUAUGCAAUCUCCACAAUAAAUAAACUAUCCAUAUUUCCAUAGGUGAGAGAUGACAAAUAUCCAACUCCACCAUUUACAUACAUAUCUACCAAUUUUAUUAUUUAUACAAAAUAAUUAUGUGAAACAUUAUUAGGGCAAAAUCCCAUUUUCUCCCAAAUCCAACCCAUGUGUCAAAAUCAACAAGUUUAACACAACACAACCUCAUAUCUAUACACAUACCUAUUUUCAACACCUUCAUUUGAAAACCCCUAUUUUGAUUUUAAACCAAAACCCUAGAUUUGUCUAAAAUCAUCUACAUCCCAAUAUUUAUUUGCACAAUCAAUAAAUAACUAACUUAAAAAUCAUAAGAGAGCAUAUAAAGUUCCUACCUCAAACUUAAAAGAGAGAAUAUAAAGGAAAGCCCAAAAGUUGACGGUGACAAAACAAUGAUUUGAUCCGAUCAAAAUGAAGCCCUUGACAGGCUCUACACUUAAUAUCAAAGGAGCAAAGUAAGGAGAUGCUUCCACGUGAGUAGAUCUAAAGAUCUUCGAGCAGAAAGUGAUUUUAGAGAGGGAGAGAGUGAAAAAAGAAGAAAAAGUGGAGGAAAAGUUAAGAGAGAGACCUAUUAAUAGUACUAGGUCAAAAUGAAAUGAAUGAAAUCUCAAAGUCAACCUAAAAGAUCAAGUCAAAAUCUCCAAAAAGUAGGGCCCAAAAUCGAGUGAAAAAUUUGGAAAAAGGUCACAAGGGUCGACCCCUACAACAGUGGUGUCGACCCUUCAGAAGAAAAGCGAGGACACUUAUGUUUGACAGCAAGCAAGGUGUCGACACCUCCCAGACUGGUGUCGACACUAAAUUUUAGCAAGCAAACUUAGAUUCUGCUGCAUACAAGGGUUGACCCUUCUCAGACUGGUGUCGACCCUUCAAGCCAACAACAAAAGUAAAGUGUCAACACCUCCAAGGCUAGUGUUGACACUAAAUUUCAGUACCUAUUCUAGGAACAUAGUAGCAAGAUGGUGUCGACCCUUCCAACAUUGGUGUCGACCCUUGGAGCUAAACAAAGCAAAGAUAAGGGGCAGUGUCGACUCCCAACAAGGACGGUGUCGACUCCCGAAGCCAAAACCAACUAUGAAGAGAAAAGAACAACCAUCGCAAAUAUGAUUUUCUGGAUUCAAAAGCAAUAAUUGGAUCGGGUCUAAGCCCGAAUCGCUAUAUGUAUAACCAUCUCGUGUGUCUUCAGAUACAUACUGAAAUAUUUUUCAAUGACUGCCCUGUGCUGAGACCUUGCAAUAUGAGGGAAACACUCGAAAAACAUUUGAAGGCAAUUGGGUAUCUACAUAUUGGUCAUGCCAAGGUAACUCAUAUUUUCUAGUUAAAGAGUUUUUUAUUUUUCAAUUUUUCUUGAGUUUUGGUUCUCACUCUUCAUCUGAUAGCCUAUUGUACAGGCUAUGUUUAUUGAUUUUGGUUUGGUAAAAAAAAGAGUUGGGUGCUGCUAUCUAAGGUACGAUGAUUCAAACCCUGAGGCAGCAAAGAAAGAAUAUAUUGAUCAAAUAGAAAAGAUUGUCCGGUGGAUGGGCUGGGAAUCUUUCAAGGAUUGGAGGAAGGCGUCUCUUCACCUCUUGGGAAUUAACUCGUAGAGUUUCAAAUCUACGCUUUUGCUAUUUUGGAGGUGAGUAUACUUACCAUGGAAAUUUACCUUAUCUUUAUCUUAAAUACAAAAUUUGAAAAUAUUUUUGAAUUAAAGGAAGUGAAUGACACAUUUCAUCAUGAUAUAUCUAUAAAAAGAAAAUCUAUAAUUUUAUUAAGGUCAAAGGUUGAGUUUAAAUAAAUGAUUUCAUUUGUAUAAUGGAGCAUUAAUUUUUUUAUGAGAAUUAAUUUAAGUUGAGUCUUUCAAAUUUUAUGAUGAUGAUGAUUGAAUGACAAUGAAACGUUAUGUGAGAUUUUUUAUUUUGCUGAUCAUAUAAUCGAAUAUAGCCUUUGGGGCCACAAGGGCCGAAAUGCUUUGGGGUCCUGGGGACCGAAAUAUUGAAAUGAGAAUUGAAGUGCUACGAAAACAUAAGUUAUGUUCUUAUGGAUAUGUUUUGGGUAACGGUACCGUCACUACCUAAGUCGCGAGGUAACGCGACCCUGAGGCUAUGUAGUGGUUCGUAUGAUAGACAUGAAAUUUUAAUGU